rnacentral:rRNA from 1 species
GGGGAAUAUUGGACAAUGGGCGCAAGCCUGAACCAGCCAUGCCGCGUGCAGGAAGACGGCCCUAUGGGUUGUAAACUGCUUUUGUCAGGGAAUAAACCCCCGUACGUGUACGGGGCUGAAGGUACCUGAAGAAUAAGCAUCGGCUAACUUCGUGCCAGCAGCCGCGGUAAUACGAAGGGUGCAAGCGUUACUCGGAAUUACUGGGCGUAAAGCGUGCGUAGGUGGUGGUUUAAGUCCGUUGUGAAAGCCCUGGGCUCAACCUGGGAACUGCAGUGGAUACUGGAUCACUAGAGUGUGGCAGAGGGUAGUGGAAUUCCCGGUGUAGCAGUGAAAUGCGUAGAGAUCGGGAGGAACAUCAGUGGCGAAGGCGACUGCCUGGGCCAACACUGACACUGAGGCACGAAAGCGUGGGGAGCAAACA